rnacentral:sRNA from 1 species
UAUCGAGGAACUCUGGCUUAGAUUGCCGCGUCCUGAGGCAACGAUUGCAUGACCUACAUCUUGUGGG